GCUUGGCAUUCGGUCUGGUUUCUUCUCCCUCGGUUGCAGGUUCGUUGGGUCAGCCCUCAAAAUGAAGGUCGGUCUUCGGGUCUUCCUGAUGGGCCUCAAUCAACCCACCUACAGGGACGUUCAACAUUGGUCGUUCAUUCUCCUUGGGCACGUGGCUUGCAAGCCCAUGAGUUGGGCAUAGUGGGUCGGGUGACUCGGGCCACUCGCCCACG
rnacentral:lncRNA from 1 species